ACAGUUUCGUUCAUAGGAACACAGUUACCCAUACAAAUGGGAGGAGAUUAUGUUGUCAUACCGAUCUUACUGUGCUAUUUGUAUAGAACUUGCCAACUCACCUUGCUUGAUUCGAUAGAUGUAGAUGGCAAUCUCACGAUGGAUGAGGAGAACACCACUAUUUUAAGACCUAAAUCUUUCGAUUUUCCGUGGAGAGCUAAUAUCAAGAAUGAAGGAAGCGGCAUUAUUUCUCAUUAUGCAAUGUGGCACACAAAGCCAGGAAAAUUCUAUGGCCUCCGAGCUGAGAUGAGUAUAUGGGCUUCACCAAAUCAAGAAAACUCUCAAGAAUCUGGAGCAUCCUUACAGAUCUAUUGUCCAGAUGGAGGAAACUACAACUUAAUUGAAGCUGGAUUUCACAUUUCCCCCUCUUUAUACCGUAACAAAGAUAUCCGCUUCUUUACAUAUUGGACUAAGGACUUGAAAUCAAGGGGGUGCUACAACUUGCAGUGCCCAGGAUUUGUUUCUGCAAGUGGAGCUAAUCUGGUACCUGGACAAGCCAUUGUUCCUCCAUCAAUGUAUGGAAAACAAGACUACUAUGUUAGGCUUAGCCUCAACCAGGAUCCAAAUUCCGAAGAUUGGGUGGUGUACCGUCAUGAUUUAGAAAAACCAUCAUUAUUGGGACAUUUUCCAAAGAAGCUUUGCCCUGGAACACCACGUAUACAAGCCUUGACUGGAUUCGUGAAUUACUUGAAGAAUGCACAUGGUCCUCCAAUGGGUAGUGGCCACUUCCCUGAUCAUUACGAUCAUGACAAUAAGAAAUCUGCGUACUUCAAGCACAUUCGGUAUUACAAUCCAAAUGGUCAUUCUUAUAACCCGUUUGGCGUGCCAAUGGUCAAGUUAGUUGAUAGGCUAGAUUGUUAUAGAGCAAAUGAUUUUGUUCUUGAUUAUAAGAGGGGUUAUAUGUUCAACUAUGGUGGACCAAGUGGUUGUGUUGGU
rnacentral:rRNA from 1 species